AAUUAUUACUUUGGCAGAUUAGUGCAGUAAAUUUAGAAUUUAUAAAUGUAAAUUUUUACAAGUAAUA
rnacentral:tRNA from 1 species